rnacentral:rRNA from 1 species
AGCGAACGCUGGCGGCAGGCCUAACACAUGCAAGUCGAACGGCUCUUCGGAGCAGUGGCGGACGGGUGAGUAACACGUGGGAACGUGCCCUUUGGUACGGAACAACUGAGGGAAACUUCAGCUAAUACCGUAUGUGCCCUUCGGGGGAAAGAUUCAUCGCCAUUGGAGCGGCCCGCGUUGGAUUAGGUAGUUGGUGGGGUAAUGGCCCACCAAGCCUACGAUCCAUAGCUGGUCUGAGAGGAUGAUCAGCCACACUGGGACUGAGAAACGGCCCAGACUCCGACGGGAGGCAGCAGUGGGGAAUCUUGGGCAAUGGGCGAAAGCCUGACGCAGCGAUGCCGCGUGUAUGAUGAAGGUCUUAGGAUUGUAAAAUACUUUCACCGGGGAAGAUAAUGACGGUACCCGGAGAAGAAGCCCCGGCUAACUUCGUGCCAGCCGCCGCCGUAA